rnacentral:rRNA from 1 species
CCUACGGGAGGCAGCAGUGAGGAAUAUUGGUCUAUGGACGAGAGUCUGAACCAGCCAAGUAGCGUGAAGGAUGACUGCCCUAUGGGUUGUAAACUUCUUUUAUAUGGGAAUAAAAUGUUCCACGUGUGGGAUUUUGUAUGUACCAUAUGAAUAAGGAUCGGCUAACUCCGUGCCAGCAGCCGCGGUAAUACGGAGGAUCCGAGCGUUAUCCGGAUUUAUUGGGUUUAAAGGGAGCGUAGGUGGAUUGUUAAGUCAGUUGUGAAAGUUUGCGGCUCAACCGUAAAAUUGCAGUUGAAACUGGCAGUCUUGAGUACAGUAGAGGUGGGCGGAAUUCGUGGUGUAGCGGUGAAAUGCUUAGAUAUCACGAAGAACUCCGAUUGCGAAGGCAGUUCACUGGACCGCAACUGACACUGAGGCUCGAAAGUGUGGGUAUCAAACAGGAUUAGAUACCCCUGUAGUC